GUGUCGUUAGCUCAGUAGGUUAGAGCAACGGGCUUUUAACCCGUAGGUCGCAGGUUCGAUUCCUUCCCGACACACCA
rnacentral:tRNA from 1 species